AGCAGCCGCGGUAAUUCCAGCUCCAAUAGCGUAUAUUAAAGUUGUUGCAGUUAAAAAGCUCGUAGUUGAAUUUCGGGAUUAGUAAGUUGGUCGUGCCUCUGGUAUGUACUGGCUCUACUGGUUCCUCCUUCUUGAAGAACUGUAAUGUCAUUAAUUUGGUGUUGCAGGGAAACAGGACUGUUACUUUGAAAAAAUUAGAGUGUUUAAAGCAGGCUAACGCUUGAAUACAUUAGCAUGGAAUAAUGAAAUAGGACGUUUGAUCCUAUUUUGUUGGUUUCUAGGAUUGACGUAAUGAUUAAUAGGGAUAGUUGGGGGCAUUAGUAUUCAAUUGUCAGAGGUGAAAUUCUUGGAUUUAUUGAAGACUAACUACUGCGAAAGCAUUUGCCAAGGAUGUUUUCAUUAAUCAAGAACGAAAGUUAGGGGAAUCGAAGACGAUCAGAUACCGUCGUAGUCUUAACCAUAAACUAUGCCGACUAGGGAUCGGAUGAUGUUAAUUUUUUAAUGACUCAUUCGCGCCUUA
rnacentral:rRNA from 1 species